rnacentral:rRNA from 1 species
GUGGGGAAUCUUCCGCAAUGGACGAAAGUCUGACGGAGCAACGCCGCGUGAGUGAUGAAGGUCUUCGGAUUGUAAAGCUCUGUUAAUCGGGACGAAAGAGCCUAGUGUGAAUAAUGCUAGGAAGUGACGGUACCGGAAUAGAAAGCCACGGCUAACUACGUGCCAGCAGCCGCGGUAAUACGUAGGUGGCAAGCGUUGUCCGGAAUUAUUGGGCGUAAAGCGCGCGCAGGCGGAUCUGCCAGUCUGUCUUAAAAGUUCGGGGCUUAACCCCGUGAUGGGAUGGAAACUACAGAUCUAGAGUAUCGGAGAGGAAAGCGGAAUUCCCCGUGUAGCGGUGAAAUGCGUAGAUAUGGGGAGGAACACCAGUGGCGAAGGCGGCUUUCUGGACGGUGUCUGACACUGAGGCGCGAAAGCCAGGGGAGCGAACGGGAUUAGAAACCCCAGUAGUCC